rnacentral:rRNA from 1 species
UACGGAGGGUGCGAGCGUUGUUCGGAAUCAUUGGGCGUAAAGGGCGUGUAGGUGGUCUGUUAAGUCAUGUGUGAAAGCCCUCAGCUUAACUGGGGAAGUGCGCAUGAAACUGACAGGCUAGAGUACCGAAGAGGAAGGUGGAAUUCCCGGUGUAGCGGUGAAAUGCGUAGAUAUCUGGAGGAACACCGGUGGCGAAGGCGGCAUCCUGGACCGGUAUUGACGCUGAGGCGCGAAAGCCAGGGGAGCAAACGGG